UCAACUGAUCAGAAAGCCCUGAGAAAAAGGUUGCACAUUCAAUGAUAGCAAACCAUGGUGUACUCACAAAUCUCACCCAGAUCACUCUGCCCCCUCCACUUGUCAGUGGAUCACCAGCUUCCUGGCAGAGAGGCAGCAGCAGGGCUGACCAGAGAACAAGAGACAGUUGCCAUGGUGAAGUAGGGAGAGUUGUCUUCCGACCACAGGGAGAAGCUCGCUGUAUAAAGUGUAAGAUGACCUAAGGGAUGGACCCACACCAGGGGGACCAAGUUUAAACCGCAGUCUUCCCCCAAACUCUCAACCAGUGAUAUGAAUAUUCUCUUUCUGUGUCUCAUAAUAAAAGUGUGUUCUGCUUGGGUUCGGAGUGCUUUGUCUGUUUUGACACAUGGAGCAGAGGAAGAGAGAUGGCACGGUUAGUAACCUGAAAUUUCAACUGCUUAAUAAUAAAUUUUGAAAAAUUAUACUUGGAUUAUAUACUUUGACUUUAUACCUAUUGUCCUUUUGUUGAAUAAUUGCAACUUAUUAAUAAAGUUUAAAAGAAAUAGGGAUGGGGUUCAGAUUGAGUCCACAGUAAUCCAUAGUCCUCAUGUGGUCCAGCAGCUGGCUUGUUGGCUCUGUCAUGAGCAGCAGCCGGCUGGAGCAAGAGUCUGUCCUCCUGGUUUACUGUCAGAGGACUAGGUCAUCACUGAGCUGCUGUUUGUCACUCAGCUUGGAGUUACCUGACACAGGUGCCGCUGUUAGCUAGAGCUCCUUGGAUGCAGUCAGGUUGUUAAUAAAGAUUGUCAGUAAUAUCAAUUCUUGUUAUUUUUAGUUUUCUUUUCUCUUUUUUCUAGUCCUGCAUAGGACUGGGCGAUAUAUCAAGUUUUUAAAUAUGUCGAUAUAUUUUUAUACGAGAUAUGAGAUGUGACAAUAUCGUUUAUAUCGAUAUAGUCUAUGUUACGUUAUAA